rnacentral:sRNA from 1 species
ACACGUAUAUUAAAACAAUAAACAAUUAAAAGCAAACCAAAAUAACCAUUUAAACACGUAGAAUGAAAUCAUUUUUCUUCCCAUUGACCAUCAUUAAAUUUAGAAUUGUCAUACUGACCAUCUUGAGCAGAAGAUUUGUAGU